AGCGAACGCUGGCGGCAGGCCUAACACAUGCAAGUCGAACGGAUCCUUCGGGAUUAGUGGCGGACGGGUGAGUAACACGUGGGAACGUGCCUUUUGGUUCGGAACAACUCAGGGAAACUUGAGCUAAUACCGGAUGUGCCCUUCGGGGAAGGAUUUAUCGCCAUUAGAGCGGCCCGCGUCUGAUUAGCUAGUUGGUAGGGUAAAGGCCUACCAAGGCUACGAUCAGUAGCUGGUCUGAGAGGAUGAUCAGCCACAUUGGGACUGAGACACGGCCCAAACUCCUACGGGAGGCAGCAGUGGGGAAUCUUGCGCAAUGGGCGAAAGCCUGACGCAGCCAUGCCGCGUGAAUGAUGAAGGUCUUAGGAUUGUAAAAUUCUUUCACCGGGGAAGAUAAUGACUGUACCCGGAGAAGAAGCUCCGGCUAACUUCGUGCCAGCAGCCGCUGUAAC
rnacentral:rRNA from 1 species